rnacentral:rRNA from 1 species
UACGAAGGGGGCUAGCGUUGCUCGGAUUGACUGGGCGUAAAGGGCGCGUAGGCGGUUUGCAUAGUCAGACGUGAAAUUCCUGGGCUUAACCUGGGGGCUGCGUUUGAUACAUGCAGGCUUGAGUUCGGAAGAGGGUCGUGGAAUUCCCAGUGUAGAGGUGAAAUUCGUAGAUAUUGGGAAGAACACCGGUGGCGAAGGCGGCGACCUGGUCCGAUACUGACGCUGAGGCGCGAAAGCUAGGGGAGCAAACAGG